UACGGAGGGUGCAAGCGUUAUCCGGAUUUAUUGGGCGUAAAGAGCUCGUAGGCGGUUUGUCGCGUCUGCCGUGAAAGUCCGGGGCUUAACCCCGGAUCUGCGGUGGGUACGGGCAGACUAGAGUGCAGUAGGGGAGACUGGAAUUCCUGGUGUAGCGGUGAAAUGCGCAGAUAUCAGGAGGAACACCGAUGGCGAAGGCAGGUCUCUGGGCUGUAACUGACGCUGAGGAGCGAAAGCAUGGGGAGCGAACAGG
rnacentral:rRNA from 1 species